rnacentral:rRNA from 1 species
UACGGAGGGGGCAAGCGUUAUCCGGAUUUACUGGGUGUAAAGGGAGCGUAGACGGCAGCGCAAGUCUGGAGUGAAAUGCCGGGGCCCAACCCCGGAACUGCUUUGGAAACUGUGCAGCUCGAGUGCAGGAGAGGUAAGCGGAAUUCCUAGUGUAGCAGUGAAAUGCGUAGAUAUUAGGAGGAACACCAGUGGCGAAGGCGGCUUACUGGACUGUAACUGACGUUGAGGCUCGAAAGCGUGGGGAGCAAACAGG